UGCCACGUGUAGCAGUAAUAUGCGUAGAGAUGUGGAGGAAUCACCGAUGGAGAAGGCAGCCUCCUGGGCCAACACUGACGCUCAUGCAAAAAAGCGUGGGGAGCAAACAGGAUUAGAUACCGUAGUACUCCCCGCCCUAAACGAUGUCAACUAGUUGUUGGGGAUUCAUUUCCUUAGUAACUAGCUAACGCUUGAAGUUGACCGCCUGGAGAGUACGGUCACAAGAUUAAUUCUCAAAGGAAUUGACGGGCACCCGCACAAGCGGUAGAUGAUGUGGAUUAAUGACGCAACGCGAAAAACCUUACCUACCCUUGACAUGGUCGGAAGUCUGCUGAGAGGUGGACGUGCUCGAAAGAGAACCGACACACAGGUGCUGCAUGGGUGUCGUCAGCUCGUGUCGUGAGAUGUUGGGUUAAGUCCCGCAACGAGCGCAACCCUUGUCCUUAGUUGCUACGCAAGACCACUCUAAGGAGACUGCCGGUGACAAACCGGAGAAGGUGGGGAUGACGUCAAGUCCUCAUGGCCCUUAUGGGUAGGGCUUCACACGUCAUACAAUGGUCGGAACAGAAGGUUGCCAAGCCGCGAGGUGGAGCCAAUCCCAUAAAACCGAUCGUACUCCGGAUCGCAUUCUGCAACUCGACUGCGUGAAGCUGGAAUCGCUAGUAAUCGCGGAUCAACAUGCCGCGGUGAAUACGUUCCCGGGUCUUGUACACACCGCCCGUCACACCAUGGGAGUGGGUUUCACCAAAAGUAGGUAGCCUAACCGCAAGGAGGGCGCUUACCACGGUGGGAUUCAUGACUGGGGUGAAGUCGUAACAAGGUAGCCGUAUCGGAAGGU
rnacentral:rRNA from 1 species